GACGAACGCUGGCGGUGUGCUUAACACAUGCAAGUCGAACGGUAAGGCCCUUUCGGGGGUACCCGAGUGGCGAACGGGUGAGUAACACGUGAGUAACCUGCCCUCAUCUCUGGGAUAACAGUCGGAAACGGUUGCUAAUACUGGAUAUGAGCUUGCAAGGCAUCUUUUGGGUUGGAAAGAUUUUUUUUGGUUGGGGAUGGACUCGCGGCCUAUCAGCUUGUUGGUGAGGUAGUGGCUCACCAAGGCUUCGACGGGUAGCCGGCCUGAGAGGGCGACCGGCCACAUUGGGACUGAGAUACGGCCCAAACUCCUACGGGAGGCAGCAGUGGGGAAUAUUGCACAAUGGACGGAAGUCUGAUGCAGCAACGCCGCGUGCGGGAUGACGGCAUUCGGGUUGUAAACCGCUGUCAAUUGUGACGAAGCUUUUUUGUGACGGUAGCAGUAGAAGAAGCACCGGCUAACUACGUG
rnacentral:rRNA from 1 species